AUGGUUUUGUGAUGUUUCUUCCCCGGGGGUGUUCAUCAGCAGAAAUCUGCUCGACAGACAUAUGGAGCUUUCAGUUUCAUCAAAUGAGCAGCUCACAGUUCUGCUUGUCUCAAGCGCAACAAUGGUCAAAUCUCUCUCCGCAUAACAGCACAGGCUGGCAGGCAUGCGAGCGGCACAUUCAUCAGCUCACACCUGGCACCGUUCAGCAGACGCCUACAAUCUUGUCUCUUAAUUGAAUCUCUGUUUACGCCACGCUGCCAGUUCUCAGGCUGAUUCCCUCGUCAUGGAAACGCACAGUUUGUGGAAGACACUAGCGCUGGAGAUAAGAUACUCUACACAGAGUCAACAGCCAUCGGGUGGGCCAGAAUGUCAUCCCUCUGUCCUGCCCACGGGAGGAGGUGAGAUCAAUAGAGCUGAUGUAUGAGGCCGGCCGGUCUCUGACAGUUCAGAUGAGAGCUGAUCUCUGUGUGUGCCGGAGAGUUAACUACACGGGAGACGUCACAUGGCACCACCGUCCUCCCUCCGAGUUGACGUGGACCAAAUUACAUGACCCUCAUCAUUAGACCGGCGGAGGAGAGGUGGACAUGCUGACCUUGAGCUAUUUUCCAGCUCACAGGACCAUAACAGCCGUCGAGAGGGAGUGAAAGCGUAUGAUGGGCUGUGCUUUAAGAGUUUUAUGAGGCAGAGCAGGACAAUGGAAGACGUUUGGGACAGCAGGUCUGACAGGGCACCUCGAGGGGAGAUGUUGACUCUUGGCUCUUGUGAAUCUGUCAAGAGAAAUGUUAAUGUAGUCCAUUGUGAUGGCGUGAGGACAUCAGAGGUGAAAGCUCACAGCAGACAGACAGCGAGAGACUGUGACCACAUCACAGCCAGACAGAUCACUGCCGGAGGACGAGAGAAACGCUGCUGUGGGAUUCCAAGGACACAGACUGAGGACGGGCUGUAAGAAACCACAGAUGGUGACCAGCUACCUGCAGGGAAGAAUCUUAAACUGAAAUGAGCUUCGCCUUCAGUGGGGGAUAUGAUACAAAUACCUGCCACAUCAGAAAUCAGGAACAGUCGUCCGCCGUUCUGUGACCCCAGGCAAGCGGUGGUCCACUUUUACAAAGACUUUAGAUCAUAUACAGUGUUCAUUUAACAUUUCUGAUUGGCUCUGCUAACUUGUUUAAUGCCCCAAUAUUAGUAGUCCAUAAUGUAAAUUUUGUUUUAAACUACAUUUCCCAGUCACAGUGUUGACCAUAAACACGCUAUCGAAAACAUGUAACCUUUUAGAAAGUGUGUCCUUGUAAAUGCAAACACUACACAUACAGUAUAUUUACGCAAAGUGUAUUUUAUAUACAGGAUAAUUAUAGUGUACUUAUUAAAAUGAAUUUGAAAUAUAUUUAUUUUUUGUAAGGUCAAAGAACCUUUAAUGCAACAGAAAGGUUGUGUGAAUGUCAAAGGUUCUUUAUAGGAACGUAACGUUAAAACAUUUUUUGGAAUUUUUUAAAAGUGUAUUUUGUUUAAAUGCUCUGAUGUCUGAGCUCAAACUACCUAUUAUAUUCAUACCAGACCAU